GCGGAGGAAAAGAAACCAACAGGGAUUGCCCCAGUAACGGCGAGUGAAGCGGCAACAGCUCAAAUUUGAAAUCUGGUCCCCCCGCGGGGCCCGAGUUGUAAUUUGAAGAGGAUGCUUCUGGCAAGGUGCCGUCCGAGUUCCCUGGAACGGGACGCCGCAGAGGGUGAGAGCCCCGUACGGUCGGACGCCGAGCCUCUGUGAAGCUCCUUCGACGAGUCGAGUAGUUUGGGAAUGCUGCUCAAAAUGGGAGGUAAACCCCUUCUAAAGCUAAAUACCGGCCAGAGACCGAUAGCGCACAAGUAGAGUGAUCGAAAGAUGAAAAGCACUUUGAAAAGAGAGUUAAAAAGCACGUGAAAUUGUUGAAAGGGAAGCGCUUGCGACCAGACUCGCGCCCGUCGGAUCAGCCGUCGCUCGUCGGCGGCGCACUCCGGCGGGCUCGGGCCAGCAUCAGUUCGCCUCGGGGGGAGAAAGGCGGCGGGAAUGUGGCUCUACGGAGUGUUAUAGCCCGCCGCGUAAUACCCCCGGGCGGACUGAGGAC
rnacentral:sRNA from 1 species